UAUAUUUGGAGUUGUAGGUAGAUUGAAAUGAUGUAUGUGGAAUAAUCAGUGGGAUUUUAAGGGACAGAGGGCUUAUCAGGUGAUUGUUUCAGUCUGAAUGGAGGGUUAUUGAUUUUGAUAUACCAGGAAGAGAUGUAGCAUCAUUAUUAAAUGGUGAAAUAGAAGGUUGUCUUUCAAUGUCAAUUUCCUUUUCGUUUAUCAGCAUGUUUUUGGGAUUUGUACUGAUGAAGUAAAAUGAACAUGCAUGAAGUCUUUAGUUUCAACAAUUGGUUCUACAUCAGGUAGCUUCCUUCUCCACCUGUAGAGUGGAUUGGAUCUCAAGCCCCUUUCUUCAGGAGAUUGUAUCCAGCUUGAUGUGAUUAUCUGACUAAAUCAAAUGAUUUGG
rnacentral:misc_RNA from 1 species